AUGGAAAUGAGCUGAUGGGAAGACUUAUCCCAGUUAGUACCUGUGACUUUUAUUAAAGGUUCAGAGGAAACAGUUGUCAAAAUUAAGCAUUUUGCAAAAUAGAGAAAUCCCAUUACUUCCAUUCAUCUGAGAGCAGCCAAGAAGACAAAAGGAAUUGAAAAGUGAAUUUUGGGGGGAAUUACACAGGUUCACACAGAGGGUACUCUCCUAGUUACAGUUUUCUGAGAUAUUUUGCCUGACUCUAAGAUCGUGGUAUUUCCAUGUCCUUUUAAAAAGUUUUUGUUUUCUGCAGGGCAUCAGGAAGGAAAUCCCUAGGACACUUCAUGUUUCCCAGGCGAAAGAGAAUUCAUUUCAUUGCAAUUUGGAGUGGAAGCUGGCCUUGUUGUUUAUCUGGAGGCCCCUCCAGAAUCCUCCAUCCCAACAACUCCUGGGUUUGACGGCGAGGAUACUUUUGGCAAGAGGAAAAGGCACUGAAUACCCAAGACCUAAUUCUUAUUUUGAAAAUUGAAUCUGCCGGAACAGCCAAUUUCAGCAUUGUCCUCCAGACAACAGAUACAAAAAAGAAAAAAAGCUUAUUACCUCGUGAUGGUUAAUAUGUAAUAGUCCAGUGACCUACCUUAAGCAAGUCUAAAUGGUUACAUCACAAGCCUCAGACUGAAGUAACUAUAUUUAACUCAGUAUUCUGAGAAAGAGGAACCAGGAACUACUCUCUGGAACACCACACUGCAAUAUGCCCUAUAAAGGUAAGCAUCUUCGGAAGGAAAAAGCACAUUGACAGUGUGGCUGUUAAAAUUCAUUGUCAUUUAUGCAACAUUUUUUUUAAUAUAAAGGCUUUAAAAAGUGCGUACUUGAAACAAAAGAAGUUAGACUCAAGGAGUAAACUCCCUCUAUCAUCCUCUUUUCUUAGAGGAUGAAUUUCUUUUGGGAAUUUUCCUUUUUAAACUUUUUAAAGAUACACAAAGAUGAAUAUGCAUGAAAAAAAAACUGAGCUUAAAAAUACUUGUGGAAAUUUUGCAAAUAAAUCAUCAGUAGUCUGGAGCCUAAAGCACAUAGCAACUAUCUUGCAUUCAUUUUUAUUUCCCUGCUUUUAACCUCAUGGCAUGAAAACAAUCGAUUAAAUGGUAAUUUAUUUUCAAAAGAAUAGAAAAUAAAAAUAGCUUAUUUUAAAAGAAAUGUUUUAAACUCCAAAAGAGUUACAUGCACCAAGAAAGUAGGUAUCAUAGGUAAGUCUUUGGAACACAUUCUAGAUCAGCACUGUCCAAUAAAACUUUCAGUGAUAGAAAUGCUCUAUAUCUGGGUUGUACAGUGUGGCAGCCACCACUUACAUGUAGCUACUGAGCAAUUUAAAUGUGGUAAGUAUGCCUUAGGAACUGAAUUUUCUAUUUUAUUUAAUUUUAAAUAACUGAAAUUUAGCCAUAUGUGGCUGGUGGCUGCCAUAUUGGGUAGCACAAUAGAGAUUUUCAGGUCAUUUACCUGAAACAAACAAAAUUACGUUCACUAACUUUAAAACCAACCACCUGAAUUCUACAAGAAUCCCUCAAGUCAAAAACAAGGGCUUAAUAAAACAGGGCCUGUUUUCUUGCAUCUCAGUAUAAUAAUCAAGUGGGCAAUACUGAGGGAGAAAGGGAACCCAGUGAGGACAUCCAU